GAUCAUGGCUCAGGGUGAACGCUAGCUACAGGCUUAACACAUGCAAGUCGAGGGGCAGCAUGUUGGUUGCUUGCAACCAAUGAUGGCGACCGGCGCACGGGUGAGUAACGCGUAUCCAACCUACCCUUGUCCAUCGGAUAACCCGUCGAAAGGCGGCCUAACACGAUAUGCGGUUCACAGCAGGCAUCUAACGUGAGCGAAAUGUAAAGGAGAAGGAUGGGGAUGCGU
rnacentral:rRNA from 1 species